rnacentral:lncRNA from 1 species
AGGGCCAUUAUCUCUACUUAUCAUCUAUUGGUGCAUUUUUCGACUAAGAAAAGGGUUGGUGAAAUGCGUGGCGACUGGACGGUAGCUCGAUAGUAUUUUAUGAUUUCUACUAAACUGAACUAAUCAAUGAAAACUGUGCCAGUUGAUAUACCAAACACAUUGGAUGAGAUUAAAAAAAUUUGAGGUGAACUGAUAGAAAAGCUUGAAGCCAUUCCUUUGAGAGAUGAUCC